rnacentral:rRNA from 1 species
UACGAGGGGGGCGAGCGUUGUUCGGAAUUAUUGGGCGUAAAGGGUGCGUAGGCGGUUCCGCAAGUCCUGUGUGAAAUCUUCGGGCUCAACUCGAAGUCUGCACGGGAAACUGCGGGGGCUUGAGUGUGGGAGAGGUGAGUGGAAUUCCCCGGUGUAGCGGUGAAAUGCGUAGAUAUCGGGAGGAACACCCGUGGCGAAGGCGGCUCUCUGGGACGGUACUGACGCUGAGACGCGAAAAGCGUGGGGGAGCGAACAGG